GAUGAACGCUAGCGGCAGGCUUAACACAUGCAAGUCGAGGGGUAGAGGAAGCUUGCUUCCUUGAGACCGGCGCACGGGUGCGUAACGCGUAUGCAACCUACCUUUUACAGAGGGAUAGCCCAGAGAAAUUUGGACUAAUACCUCAUGGUAUAUAUCAUUCGCAUGUUUGAUAUAUUAAAGUUCCAACGGUAAAAGAUGUGCAUGCGUCCUAUUAGCUAGAUGGUAAGGUAACGGCUUACCAUGGCAACGAUAGGUAGGGGUCCUGAGAGGGAGAUCCCCCACACUGGUACUGAGACACGGACCAGACUCCUACGGGAGGCAGCAGUGAGGAAUAUUGGACAAUGGGCGCAAGCCUGAUCCAGCCAUGCCGCGUGCAGGAAGAAGCAUCUAUGGUGUGUAAACUGCUUUUGUACGGGAAGAAACACUCCUUCGUGAAGGAGCUUGACGGUACCGUAAGAAUAAGGAUCGGCUAACUCCGUGCCAGCAGCCGCCGUAA
rnacentral:rRNA from 1 species